rnacentral:lncRNA from 1 species
UUUUAUGUCUACUAAAAAAUAAGAAGCAAUGCAUUUUAAAAGAAGACACGUAUAUAUUGAAGAAGGAUUGUAUAAAAUAAAAGUAAAAGUAUGAUCACAAAGUUGCACAAUAUUACAUUACAUGUCAUAAAGUUUGGAUAAUAUUAAAUUUCCUACAACUUAUAACUGGUCUCAUUUACCAAUAGCAACUGCUUCAUCACACUUGGCUUAAUCUCACUUUCCUCUGCUACGAUACGGCUCUGCCAUAGGUUUGGGCGAAGAAUGGUUCGACAACGACUUCGAGGCUGAGGAUACAGAUUGAUUAACUACACUCUGUGAAUGUGAUCGUGGUUGAACAGUAGUUGUUUCCGUCGCUGGAGGAACAUUGCUUCUCCAUCCUGUGGUGAGGUAGCAGAAGAUAUUUCCCAUGACUGAGUGAUGUAAGACUUAAAAACUGGUGUCUUUCUGCUUCGGCUUUUAUAUUAAUUGUGUUGUGUGGUUGGUGGAAAACAUUUGUGUAAAGUUUGACUUUGGCAGGACUAC